CCUUUUCACAAAAAAAACAUAUAAAAGUCUGAAUUAUGAAUUUAAAUGGACUCGCAUGACCUAUUACCCAAUAAUAUGAGAACAUAUCAUUAUGUAUUUGAAUGCGUCUACAGAAUGCUUUUUUUAUAUUUGUAUUUUAGUUAAUUUAGCCAUUUUUAUACUUGAAAAUGCUUCUUUUUGGCAAAAAAAACACCACAUAAAAGUCUGAAUUAUGAAUUUAAAUGGACUCGCAUGACAUAUUACUCAAUAAUAUGAGAACAUUAGCCAUAAUACACUUAACAUUUAAUGACUAUUUUACUACAUAUCAUUAUGUAUUUGAAUGCGUCUACAGAAUGCUUUUUUUAUAUUUGUAUUUUAGUUAAUUUAGCCAUUUUUAUACUUGAAAAUGCUUCUUUUUGGCAAAAAAAACCACAUAAAAGUCUGAAUUAUGAAUUUGGAUGGACUCACAUGACAUAUUACCCAAUAAUAUGAGAACAUAUCAUUAUGUAUUUGAAUGCGUCUACAGAAUGCUUUUUUUAAUAUUUGUAUUUUAGUUAAUUUAGCCAUUUUUAUACUUGAAAAUGCUUCCAUUUGACAAAAAAAAAACACAUAAAAGUAUCGUACUUCCCACUGUAGACUGGAAGCAACCCAAAGGUCAGAUCUCAGUCGGCACUGAGCCCAUCAAAGGGGGUCCACCGUGGUGUCUGAACCAUCCUGUGGAGGCUAAUGAAGUCACGCACACUAGGCACACUUCUGAUCCCUCUGUAGUUUUACAAAUGUCAUGGAAGUCAUCAAGUGUUGUCCCAAAAGAGGCAAGUAAUAUGACAUUUUAGGGGAUGUUUUUAUUGACUUUUAUUGACAAAAUAGAUACAUUGAAAAUACAGCGGUCCCAUGAAUGCACCAUGCUGCUUCUGGUGUCUAAGUGGGCCGAGACUCUGCAGGUUUUUCUCUCCAGCGGGUGUUUUAAUUGAUGAGCUCCUUCGCUCAAAUUGAAGGAGGUGUUGAUGAUUAGUGACCCGCUGGAAAGACGGCCUGCAGUGUCUCGGCCCUUCGUGGCAUGAGUUUGAUACCCAGGCGAUACAAUUGAUAGAAAACAUUAUCUAUACCCACAGACACCAAGGAAAAACCGUUCAAAAAGAGCACAAAAAUGACUCAGAAACCUGAAGUUAAAUGCUUGUAGAGUUGGAAUGGACCCCUAUUUUUACUUUACUGUUGCUAGCAAAAUAGCCCAUCACACUACCACCGCCAUAUUUUACUAUUGCUAUGAUGUUGUGGGAUAUUUUUCAUUGACAGCAGAAUUCAUGGUUCCAUUUAUCACAGCAAGUCUUCCAGGUCCUGAAUCAGCAAAACAGCCCCAGACCAUCACACUACCACCACCAUAUUUUACUGUUGCUAUGAUGUUGUGGGAUAUUUUUGGUUGACAGCAGAAUUCAUGCUUCCAUUUAUCACAGCAGGUCUUCCAGGUCCUGAAGCAGCAAAAGAGCCCCAGGCUGUCACACUACCACCACCAUAUUUUUCUACUGUUGCUAUGAUGUUAUGGGAUAUUUUUGGUUGAUUGCAGAAUUCAUGGUUCCAUUUAUCACAGCAGGUCUUCCAGGUCCUGAAGCAGCAAAACAGCCCCAGACCAUCACACUACCACCACCAUAUUUUACUGUUGCUAUGAUGUUGUGGGAUAUUUUUCAUUGACAGCAGAAUUCAUGGUUCUAUUUAUCACUAGCAAGUCUUCCAGGUCCUGAAACAGCAAAACAGCCCCAGACCAUCACACUACCACCGCCAUAUUUUUUUACUGUUACUGUUACUGUUUUUUACUGACAGCAGAAUUCAUGGUUCCAUUUAUCACAGCAAGUCUUCCAGGUCCUGAAACAGCAAAACAGCCCCAGACCAUCACACUACCACCACCAUAUUUUACUGUUGCUAUGAUGUUGUGGGAUGUUUUUGGUUGACUGCAGAAUUCAUGGUUCCAUUUAUCACAGCAAGUCUUCCAGGUCCUGAAUCAGCAAAACAGCCUCAGACCAUCACACUACCACCACCAUUUUUUUACUGUUGCUUGUGGGAUAUUUUUGGUAGACAGCAGAAUUCAUGGUUCCAUUUAUCACAGCAAGUCUUCCAGGUCCUGGAGCAGCAAAACGACCCCAGACCAUCAAACUACCACCACCAUAUUUUUUUUACUGUUGCUAUGACGUUGUGGGAUGUUUUUGGUUCACUGCAGAAUUCAUGGUUCUAUUUAUCACAGGAAGUCUUCCAGGUCCUGAAUCAGCAAAACAGCCCAAGACCAUCACACUACCACCACCAUAUUUUUCUACUGUUGCUAUGAUGUUAUGGGAUAUUUUUGGUUGAUUGCAGAAUUCAUGGUUCCAUUUAUCACAGCAAGUCUUCCAGGUCCUGAAGCAGCAAAACAGCCUCAGACCAUCACACUACCACCGCCAUAUUUUACUGUUGCUUUGAUGUUGUGGGAUGUUUUUGGUAGACAGCAGAAUUCAUGGUUCCAUUUAUCACAGCAAGUCUUCCAGGUCCUGAAUCAGCAAAACAGCCCAAGACUAUCACACUACCACCACCAUAUUUUACUGUUGCUUGUGGGAUAUUUUUGGUAGACAGCAGAAUUCAUGGUUCCAUUUAUCACAGCAAGUCUUCCAGGUCCUGAAUCAGCAAAACAGCCUCAGACCAUCACACUACCACCACCAUAUUUUACUGUUGCUAUGAUGUGGGAUGUUUUUGGUUGAUUGCAGAAUUCAUGGUUCCAUUUAUCACAGCAAGUCUUCCAGGUCCUGAAGCAGCAAAACAGCCCCAGACCAUCACACUACCACCGCCAUAUUUUACUGUUGCUAUGAUGUUGUGGGAUAUUUUUGGUUGACAGAACACGCAUGUAAGUAUGUGUGACCGAAUGCUACAAAAUUGACGUAAUGUUUGUCCAAAGUCAAUCGCGGUGAAAGGAGCUUCCUAUUGAUUGCGGUCGAGUCAUAUUUUUAGCACAGUUAACAAAUCUUCACCCGUGAUGGCACCGACUUUUGUGAUGAUUGCUCAAUUCCCGCAGGUGCUGUGCUUUCAUCCCAUUGAUGUCGGCAAGAAGCAGGAGGAAAUUCCCGCAAAGUGGUCUUGGUCUUGGAACUUUGCCAUGCAGGCCGUUUUUAUCCAGUGUCUUGCUUAUCGUGGAGUCAUGAACACCGACCUUAACUGAGCAGCGUUGCAGAGCCCACAGAGUCCACAGUGGCCCGACGACACCCGCCAUCACCUCUCACGCAGCGAUGGCACACGCGUCUCUCUGGAUCUCCAUUUGAACCUCCCACAUCUUUCUCUUCAAGCCUGCGUCUCCUGUGGUAACAAAGAGUUCACCUCCUCCUCGCUCACCGCUUCUUUCUAGCGUUCGUGUACAAACAUGGCGGCCAGGUGAACGCCAGGCAUCGUUUCUUCUGGUACUUUGGUUGGAACCCAGGAGCAUUGACCGGGACUUUGCUGACUCAUGUCAUGAAUAUACGCGUUUAUUGAAAAUGAAUGAAGCGAUUCUAUGACUCAGCGCUUCUCGUCUCCUGCAUCGUCAUGGAAUGAGUCAGUGGCCAUUUGGAAUAUGACUUUUCUAAGUUUUCAAUGGUUUGUGGUCUGGUCCUUGUUGACAUUGAUUGGUCUGGAAGGGGGACCAAGACCGCACCAGAUCCCCAAGACCAGUCGGACUAG